rnacentral:rRNA from 1 species
AGGGUUCGAUUAUGGCUCAGGAUAAACGCUGGCGGCGCACAUAAGACAUGCAAGUCGAACGAACUUAAUUUGAAAGUUUACUUUUGAAAGCGGUUAGUGGCGGACUGGUGAGUAACGCGUAAGCAAUCUGCCUAUCAGAGGGGAAUAACAGUGAGAAAUCACUGCUAAUACCGCAUAAGCUGUGAGGAGCACAUGCUCUAAAUAGAAAAGGAGCAAUCCGCUGAUAGAUGAGCUUGCGUCUGAUUAGUUAGUUGGUGAGGUAACGGCCCACCAAGACGAUGAUCAGUAGCCGGACUGAGAGGUUGAACGGCCACAUUGGGACUGAGAUACGGCCCAG